GGAAUCUUGCGCAAUGGACGAAAGUCUGACGCAGCGAUGCCGCGUGAGGGAUGACGGCCUUCGGGUUGUAAACCUCUUUCAGGAGGGACGAAAUUGACGGUACCUCCAGAAGAAGCCCCGGCCAACUACGUGCCAGCAGCCGCGGUAAUACGAAGGGGGCUAGCGUUGUUCGGAAUUACUGGGCGUAAAGCGCACGUAGGCGGACUAUUAAGUCAGGGGUGAAAUCCCGGGGCUCAACCCCGGAACUGCCUUUGAUACUGGUAGUCUAGAGUUCGAGAGAGGUGAGUGGAAUUCCGAGUGUAGAGGUGAAAUUCGUAGAUAUUCGGAGGAACACCAGUGGCGAAGGCGGCUCACUGGCUCGAUACUGACGCUGAGGUGCGAAAGCGUGGGGAGCAAACAGGAUUAGAUACCCCCGUAGUCC
rnacentral:rRNA from 1 species